rnacentral:rRNA from 1 species
GAUGAACGCUGGCGGCGUGCCUAAUACAUGCAAUUCGAGCGAACAGAUGAGGAGCUUGCUCCUCUGACGUUAGCGGCGGACGGGUGAGUAACACGUGGAUAACCUACCUAUAAGACUGGGAUAACUUCGGGAAACCGGAGCUAAUACCGGAUAAUAUAUUGAACCGCAUGGUUCAAUAGUGAAAGACGGUUUUGCUGUCACUUAUAGAUGGAUCCGCGCCGCAUUAGCUAGUUGGUAAGGUAACGGCUUACCAAGGCAACGAUGCGUAGCCGACCUGAGAGGGUGAUCGGCCACACUGGAACUGAGACACGGUCCAGACUCCUACGGGAGGCAGCAGUAGGGAAUCUUCCGCAAUGGGCGAAAGCCUGACGGAGCAACGCCGCGUGAGUGAUGAAGGUCUUCGGAUCGUAAAACUCUGUUAUUAGGGAAGAACAAAUGUGUAAGUAACUAUGCACGUCUUGACGGUACCUAAUCAGAAAGCCACGGCUAACUACGUG